GAUGAACGCUGACAGAAUGCUUAACACAUGCAAGUCAACUCUGGCGGACGGGUGAGUCACGCGUAAAGAACUUGCCUCACUGUUAGGGACUACCUUUUGCAACGAAUGCUCAUACCUGAUACUGUGGGAGCGCUUUGCGUCCCAUUAUCUAAUUGGAGAGGUAACGGCUCACCAAGGCGAUGAUGGGUAGCCGGCCUGAGAGGGUGAUCGGCCACAAGGGGACAGGGACACGGCCCUUACUCAUACGGGAGGAAGCAGUGGGGAAUAGUGGACAAUGGACCAAAGUGUGAUCAAGGAAUUCUGGGUGCAAGAUGAAGUUUUCAGAAUGGAAAGGGCGUUCAGUUGGGAAGCGGUACCAACAGAAGAAGUGACGGCUAAAUACGUGCCAGCAGCCGCGGUAAUAC
rnacentral:rRNA from 1 species